AGCGAGCCUUGACUGGGCUUCAUGCUGUGGAGGCCCCCAACUCCCAGAAGCAGCUGGGAUUCUGCUCACACAAGCAACUGGGCCGGCCGGCCCUGGACUCCUAGACCCUGAGCCGCCUGCCGACUGCCUGCACAGGGAGAACAGCUGAGGCCCGGGCAGGGCCCCCACACCAGACCCCAGCAUAGCUUCCCCACCCAGGCACCCCCCUUCCUGGGGCAGCAGGCAUGGGAGUCAGGGCUGCACGCUCCUCCCCUCCCACCUCACAGGCGGCCUUAGGCAAGUCAUUUUCUGUCAUCACAAGGUCGCCUCUGCCUAGUCAGGUCCUGGCGUCCAGAGUAAGGACGUGCGGCCCCCAGGCCCCCACAUCCCUCCCUCAGCUCCAAGGCCAGGACGCCCCCUCCCCGCCCCCGCCCACUCACGUGUCUCAUUGUGGCUGCCUGUGGACUCCCGGGCCUUGUGUACAGGCCUGGCCCUUCCACUGAUUUUUAAAAGUGAACCAUUGCUGGAUCUCAGAUUCUGUGGCAUCUAAGGCCUAGCAGGGGUGGGCACAGGGGUUACCCGAGGCCCAUACCAAGACUCUGUGCCUGCCCUAGGCCCAGUCUCAAAGGAAGCCACGAGGCACGGGGGCCGCUGAGGAAGGAAAUGUUCAUUUUCAUUUGUCCAAAACCACCUUAAGUUUUAAGUAUAUUAAUCUUGAUGCUUUUUAACUAUUGCUUUUUAACUUGCUGAGAUUUAGAAAUACUGUUAAAAGAAAAACUUUUUUAAUUUCUGUAUUUUUUUCUGUAUUGUAUCUUCAUGGGACAUUAGGGGUUUUCUAUGGUAAGCACACCUACGGUUUUGGUAAAAACAUCAAAUAUAUAUCCAGACGGUUCUUCCCUAGAAGAAAAACAAAUCUUUACACCUGAUAAAAUAUUUUGCAAAGAGAGGUGUUCUUUUUCCUUACUGGUGCUGAAAGGAAGGAUGGAUAAUGAGGAGAAAAUAAAACUGUGAGGCUCAA